CUUUGAGCAAAUAAGGUUUGUGUAGCCCUUGUUGGGUAUAACAUUGUUGCCAUUGCAUUGUGUAUUCUCACCAUGCUCUGAACAUAAAAAAAUAACUACUUUGCAUUUCACUACUGGUGCAAAUCUAGAAAGUACCAGUAACAUAAAAAAGAAGAGUACUGGAGCUGCAAGGUAGUGGAUUUCCUUGGUGCGAGCAUCUUCUAUUUGUCACAUCAUGUACCAGCGAGAGGUUUUUGUGGAUGUUUUGUCACAGGGUCACUGGGAGCUGGAGUCUAUUCCAGCUGACACUGGGCAGAAGGCUGACUAAACCUUGGAAUGGUCAUCAGUGAAUCAGAGGUGUAGAGAAGUCAGGUGAUGCAUUACAGUGGAAUGGAGCAUGUUUUAUUCAAUGUCAUGUGAGCAGAAACUCACUUGGCAUGACCCUUGUGGCGCUCCUGUUAACCAACCGUCAUUCCGUGUAUCUAAAGCCUUCGAGUGCUCAAUGUUUCACUGACCACACCUUCUUUAUUGAUCAUAUCACAAAGACGAGCAAGACCAAGACCAUCCCAGCUGUUCGGUUCGGUUGCUGAGGAUCUUAACUCAGCCACUGAACACCACCAGUUGAACUAUCAGCGCCCCUUUCAAAAUUGGAUAUACUAAUGAGACAGCAAUGACACACGUCAGCUGAGCCCUUUUCUUCAGACCGCUCAACGAGGAAAUAUCUUUGACACUGAAGUACUGAGCACCUUACUGUGUUCAUCGCAGUUCCCUGCCUAAAAGCUUGGCUGUAUUCAUCACCAGAUUAUAAAAACCCUUACCAUGCGGAACAUUUGGAAGUCACUUCUGUAUGAAUUAUUUGCCCUUCCUCAGGAGUGAAAAAGCGAGUUUAAUUCCUGUACUUUUUCUGCAACUCUUGGAUUGGUAAGAGAAACUCUGAAGUCAGCAAUUGAAAGCAAUUGAUGUUUUGCGCUAAACCGUAUUCCUGGCUGGGUGGAUCAGCUGGAAACUCAACUCUCAACAUGCAAGGCAGGAAGGAAGCUCUUUGAACAUUUCACAUUUAUCCUGUCGAAAAGUCUCAAAGAACACACAAUCAGACCUCUUUUCCUGGGGUGAAUGCCCGAAUUUAAGAUGAAGAACAUAUUGUGGCACUGGUUGUGUUGUGGUGCCUUUCAUAGUGUCUCAACACCUAGCCAUCGUCCAGCCACAGCUCGUUCCCAAGCCUGGAUAAAUACACACAAAGCGGAGUGAAAAUAAAAGAAAUACAAUCUUCAUAAGUUGAUUUAACUUUAAGUGUAAUACCAUAUUUGUCAGUUACACAUACCUAUGAAUUAUGUUCUGGGUCUUUUUUUAAAAUUCAACAAUGUACAAAAAAAAAAAUCCUUA